GCCGCCCUCCUGCUCCUCCUCCUGCUCCUCCUCCUCUUCGUCCUCCUCCUCCUGCUCCUCCUCCUCCGGCCUCAGGGCAGGCCCGGCCGGGACGGGCGGCGGCCGGAUGCCGGAGGCGCUCAACGGUCAGCGGCCAGGGGCGGCCCCGACCCCUCCGCCACAGAGGCCACACGGGAAGAAGAUCCACGGGUUCCAGUUUUCGGAGGAAGAUCCGGGAAUCUACUUCCGAACGGUUCAUCUGCCUUUGGAAACACUUGGGUUAAAGACAGUUAACAACAAGCAGUUAAGAUAGAUAGAGCGCAAUGUCAGCAGGGGAACAGCAACAGGAACAGUUGUCCCAGCCAAAUCCUUCCCCGUCAACAAAUUCAUCCAGCUCCUUUGAGCUAAUCGACAUGGAUGCUGUCAAUCUCUAUGAGCCGGUUUCACCUCACUGGUUUUAUUGUAAAAUAAUCGAUUCCAGGGAGAUAUGGAUUCCAUUUAACAGCGAGGAUUCACAGCAACUGGAAGAGGCAUACACUUCUGAAAAAGACUGUAAUGGGAGAGUUGUUCCCACUGACGGAGGCAGGUAUGAUGUGCAUUUGGGAGAGAGAAUGCGGUAUGCCGUUUACUGGGAUGAGCUACCAUCUGGAGUGAGACGUUGUACUUGGUUUUUCAAAGGAGAUAAGGAUAAUAAAUACGUGCCCUAUUCAGAGGGUUUCAGCCAAGUGUUAGAGGAAACUUACAUGCUUGCUGUAACUCUGGAUGAAUGGAAAAAGAAACUUGAAUCCCCGAACAGAGAAAUCAUUAUAUUACACAAUCCAAAGCUGAUGGUUCAUUACCACCCAGUGCCCGGGGCUGACGAAUGGGGCUCAACGCCUACAGAACAGGGUCGGCCUAGAACUGUGAAGAGAGGGGUCGAGAACAUCUCCGUUGACAUCCCUUCUGGUGAGCCGUUGCAAAUAGAUCAUCUGGUUUUUGUAGUUCAUGGAAUUGGACCGGCUUGCGACCUUCGGUUCCGAAGCAUCGUACAGUGUGUUAAUGAUUUUCGUGGCGUUUCCUUGAGUAUGAUACAGGCGCACUUCAAGAAAGCCCAAGAAUUGCAACAGAUUGGGCGGGUAGAGUUUCUUCCUGUGAACUGGCAUAGCCCUUUGCAUUCCACUGGCGUGGAUGUAGAUCUCCAGCGAAUCACCCUGCCCAGCAUUAAUCGCCUCCGGCAUUUUACUAACGACACCAUCCUGGAUGUCUUCUUCUACAAUAGCCCCACCUAUUGUCAGACCAUCGUGGACACGGUUGCUUCGGAAAUGAACAGAAUAUACAAACUCUUCCUGCAGAGGAACCCUGAUUUCAAAGGGGGCGUAUCCAUCGCCGGUCAUAGUCUAGGGUCUCUUAUAUUGUUUGAUCUCCUAACUAACCAGAAAGAUACUCCGGUGUCUAACGACAGCAGUAAGGGUUCUGUCGAUGUUAUGUUGGAUCAAGGAGAUGCCCUCUCUCUGGAGGAAGACUUGAAGAAACUGCAGCUCUCUGAAUUCUGCAGUAUCUUUGAGAAGGAGAAAGUGGACAAGGCAGCUCUGGCUUUAUGCACGGACCGGGAUCUUCAGGAAAUGGGAAUCCCCUUAGGUCCAAGAAAGAAGAUCUUAAACUAUAUUGGGAGUAGAGGUAAUGCCCAGAGUGGUAAACCGAGCCAGCAAUCAUCUCCACCGGAAGGCCAGGUAGAUGGAGAGAGUUUACUUAAACACCAAACAGAAUCGGGGUCCGGAAAUAACGAGUAUCUGGAUGUUGGCAUCGGGCAGGUCUCUGUGAAAUAUCCCCAGCUUGCAUACAAACCAGACAUCUUCUUUGCCUUCGGAUCUCCCAUUGGCAUGUUUCUUACUGUCCGAGGGCUGAAAAGGAUUGAUCCCCAAUACAGACUUCCAACGUGUAAAGGUUUCUUCAAUAUUUAUCAUCCUUUUGACCCUGUGGCAUAUAGGAUUGAGCCCAUGGUGGUCCCAGGGGUGGAAUUUGAGCCUAUGUUGAUCCCCCAUCAUAAAGGCAGGAAACGGAUGCAUUUAGAGUUGAGAGAAGGCCUGUCUCGUAUGAGCAUGGAUCUCAAGAACAACCUGCUAAGCUCUUUGCGAAUGGCCUGGAAGUCUUUCACCAGAGCCCCCUACCCAGCUCUGCCAGGCACAGAAGCUGCCAGCACAGAUGAAGCGGACUCGGAGCCUGACGCAAGCCCAGAGAAGUCUAGCGACGUUAAAGCGGAGGAGCCUCCCUUGGAAGUGAAGGAAGAAGUUGCACCUAUCAACGUGGGCAUGCUGAACGGGGGCCGGCGCAUUGACUACGUCCUGCAGGAAAAACCCAUCGAAAGUUUUAAUGAAUAUUUAUUUGCAUUACAAAGCCAUCUCUGCUACUGGGAAUCUGAAGAUACAGUGCUGCUGGUUCUCAAAGAAAUCUACCAAACCCAGGGAAUCUCCCUCGAUCAGCCGUCUCAGUGAAAUAGACUGACCCUUCGACCCAUGUGGCUGCAUAAAGUGAGCUCCCAGCUGUCUGCUGUUUAGGGAGGGCAGUUUGCCCCGAUGUCCUAUUAAGAUUACGUAAGAGCCUCCAGAGCCCUUAGCAGGGAAGCUAUUGGUGUACCCCCCAAAGAAUCUUUCCAUGGAAAAUCCCUUGCUGCUGCUUUCUCAUUUGUGUUCGUCCCACAUGUUGCCUGCCAUCUCCUCUCCACCGGGGACUUUACCAGAUACGUUUCCUCUCUGGGCAAAGGAAUGUGUUUUGGAGGGAGCAGAGGAGAGAUUCAUCGCUUUCCCCCCAACCAGUGAAAGCAUCUCUGCUUCCCACCGACCAAGGCAUCUUUCUGGUGGAAUCUAGAUCAAUUCUAAAAUCACUCUUUCCUCCCACUUUAGCACCAGUGUACUGGUUGUCUACCGGUAAAAGCCUGUCCUAGGUUUUAUCGGUACUGAGUGGGAUCUAAUUUUUCCUUUGAAAGGAGCUUGUGACUCAUGAUUUAGGUGCAGUAAGACCCUAUGGUCUAGCAAAUCCAAGAGGAGGAUGGACUAGGGAAUACAAAAAUGGCCUUUGUCCUUGAGUUACCGUGCACGGGGGACUUGAGUGUUCGGUUGAGCCGGAGGUCUUUCGGCAAGUGGUUAUUCAUCAAAUUUUGGUGUGCACGGUGGACUUGUGAAUCUUCACUGAAGCUUAAAGAUUAGCGUCUCAUUUCCUUUCUUUACAGUUAGGUGGGAGUGGCCACUACUGUUAGGAACCACCGCCGCCAUUGAACUUCGCCCUGCACGGCAUCUUCUGUUGCAGGGGUUCUUCGAUUAGAGACCUGGAGAGGAAAGGGCCAGUGAUGGGCAGAAUUAUUAGAUGCAUCCAGGAAAAGGUGCCACGGGUACUCUAGCCUGACCUGUCCCACUGCCCCUUCUGCCCAGCUCUAGACGAUUGCUUUGGCAUGGCCGUUUCCUGUGACAUUCCCCUCGCACCUUUGAAUUGGGUCACGUUGCAAAAACUGACUUCCUCUUCUUUUGAAGAUAUGCAUGUUCCUGUUGGAUCGUGUCUUGUUUAUUAGGCUACUGAUUCCCUAACAACCUCACUAGGCAAGCUGUGAGGAUCAAACAAAACUCUUCUCUCUGCCAAACCCCUUCGAGUCAUGCUAUUGUGAUACCGAUUGCCAGAUCCAACCACAUGGUUACCUUGUUUUAUUUAUAAACAUUGUUGCCUUUCCUCCUCCCCGCCUGCCCAGGUAUUGUUAGGAGAGGUUCCGGGCUGAGCUUGUUGACUGAGCAACAGUUUUGCUUCUAAGGACCAAGCAGUUAACCACUGCAGAACCAUAGCGCUGGUUGAGCCCGAUGUAACAAGGAACACAGGAAAGAGGAGAGCUGGAAAGGCCCACAUCAAAGCCCACCGACAGAAGAGGGAGGAGAAGGCUCCCUGGCUGUUCAGCUGGGGGGAUGAAAAUGAUUAUAAUGGCCACUGCUCACUGAUCCUCUUUGGAUGGACUCCUAGGAUUCUCCUGCCUCUUGUGUCCAGGAGGGCUUAGUAAGUAAACAGAGAUAGAGGUGGGCUUUAAAAAGAAAUAUAUUUCAAUUGCUUUACCACCUUAAGUCACAGCUUGGUACUUUUUUCAUCUGGGCCACUGCAAGGGCAGAAGCAGUCUAACGCCUCUACGGGGGGCGAAGGCACAAAAGCGGGUUAGCCAGCCCGCGUCCUGACACGUCAUGAAUAAACAGAGCAGAGCACAAUAGGGUGGGGCAGAGCUGACGGAGGGAAUUAGAAUAACUGCAGCAACGGGCUUCUGUUUUAGAUGACGUAAUGUGCAAUUUCAGUUUGAAAAAUGCGGGGGUGAAGGUCCAAAGAAGCACCGAGUUACAGAACAAGCUCAGGCGCUACAGUAGGAGGAGGUAACGGUUUAAGAGCAGAACCAAAUGGGAGGCGAAAUGAAACCUCUGUAACCAAAGAUGGAUAGGAGCGACAUGUCUGUGUCUGUAGCAGAAGGGGAGGGGGAUGUGUGAAACAGCUUUAGACCACGUCCUACUCCUUGUGAUAUAUAAGAAGUAAUAAGCAUUUAUCUGUACAAUGUUCUCAGCCUUCCAUUUCCACCCCACUUUAUUUUCGAUUGUAUAUUAUUUGCACUAUUUAAAAUGCAUUGCGUGCACUCUCUCGACCAAGCCCGAAAAGCUCAUUUAGUCUAUUUUGAAACUCCCCAGUACGGUGAUAUCUGCAUACUCCUUGCUACAACAUGAAUAUCGUCUAGCUCAUCAAAAGGAACUCUUUGCACAGAACGAUUAAUAGCUCUGACCAGCUUGUCAAAUUUUUGCACUUUCGAAAUGUUUGUUUUUUACAUGUGAAUUUAUUUAAAAUCUUUAGUACACCCUGAAAUAAAAUCCCCCCGCUCACCGA